rnacentral:rRNA from 1 species
UACCCGCAGCACAAGUGGUGGUCGUUAUUAUUGGGCCUAAAGCGUCCGUAGCUGGCGUGUUAGAUGCCUGGGUAAAUCGAUGCGCUUAACGUAUCGAAUUCCGGGUAGACCGGCACGCUCGAGACCGGGAGAGGUGUAGGGUACUCGGGGGGUAGGGGUAAAAUCCUGUAAUCCUCCGGGGACGACCAGUGGCGAAGGCGCUACACUAGAACGGCUCUGACAGUGAGGGACGAAGCCCUGGGGAGCAAACCGG